rnacentral:rRNA from 1 species
GAUGAACGCUGGCGGCGUGCCUAAUACAUGCAAGUCGAGCGAACAGAUGAGGAGCUUGCUCCUCUGACGUUAGCGGCGGACGGGUGAGUAACACGUGGAUAACCUACCUAUAAGACUGGGAUAACUUCGGGAAACCGGAGCUAAUACCGGAUAAUAUAUUGAACCGCAUGGUUCAAUAGUGAAAGACGGUUUUGCUGUCACUUAUAGAUGGAUCCGCGCCGCAUUAGCUAGUUGGUAAGGUAACGGCUUACCAAGGCAACGAUGCGUAGCCGACCUGAGAGGGGGAUCGGCCGCACUGGAACUGAGACACGGUCCAGACUCCUACGGGAGGCAGCAGUAGGGAAUCUUCCGCAAUGGGCGAAAGCCUGACGGAGCAACGCCGCGUGAGUGAUGAAGGUCUUCGGAUCGUAAAACUCUGUUAUUAGGGAAGAACAAAUGUGUAAGUAACUAUGCACGUCUUGACGGUACCUAAUCAGAAAGCCACGGCUAACUACGUG